GGUCAAGUCCCGCGCAACUAAGACGCGCCUAACCGAGUCAGGACCGGAAGGUAGCAGCUCUCAGCGAUUGUUUCAGUGUGACGCGGACCGCUUGACCUCA
rnacentral:SRP_RNA from 1 species